AUUGAACGCUGGCGGCAGGCCUAACACAUGCAAGUCGAACGAGUGGCGGACGGGUGAGUAAUGUCUGGGAAACUGCCUGAUGGAGGGGGAUAACUACUGGAAACGGUAGCUAAUACCGCAUACCAUCGGAUGUGCCCAGAUGGGUUUGGCUAGUAGGUGGGGUAAAGGCUCACCUAGGCGACGAUCCCUAGCUGGUCUGAGAGGAUGACCGGCCACAGGGGAACUUGGACACGGUCCAGAGUCCUGAGGGAGGCGGCAGUGGGGAAUAGGGCACAAUGGGCGAAGGGCGAAUGCAGCAUGGCGGGGUGUAUGAAGAGGGCCUUCGGGUUGUGAAUUAUUAUCAGCGUGGGGGGGGUACCUGCAGAAGAAGCACCGGCUAACUACGUGCCAGCAGCCGCGGUAAUAC
rnacentral:rRNA from 1 species